AUUGAACGCUGGCGGCAUGCCUUACACAUGCAAGUCGAACGGUAACAGGUCUUCGGAUGCUGACGAGUGGCGAACGGGUGAGUAAUACAUCGGAACGUGCCCGAUCGUGGGGGAUAACGGAGCGAAAGCUUUGCUAAUACCGCAUACGAUCUACGGAUGAAAGCAGGGGACCGCAAGGCCUUGCGCGGACGGAGCGGCCGAUGGCAGAUUAGGUAGUUGGUGGGAUAAAAGCUUACCAAGCCGACGAUCUGUAGCUGGUCUGAGAGGACGACCAGCCACACUGGGACUGAGACACGGCCCAGACUCCUACGGGAGGCAGCAGUGGGGAAUUUUGGACAAUGGGCGAAAGCCUGAUCCAGCCAUGCCGCGUGCAGGAUGAAGGCCUUCGGGUUGUAAACUGCUUUUGUACGGAACGAAAAGACUCUUUCUAAUAAAGAGGGUCCAUGACGGUACCGUAAGAAUAAGCUCCGGCUAACUACGUG
rnacentral:rRNA from 1 species